UGUUCACAUUCUUACUAUCUCAUAUUUAGGGAUUUGCUCCUGAGGGGGAUCUACCUCGAAUAGGGCGGGAAUGGGAAUAGGGAAAUUUUCAUCCCCGUUGGUAGAAAUGGGGAUAGCAUUCCCACCUCACGGGGUUCCCGAUUCUUGCCCCGUGGAGAUCCCCGUUAAUUCAAUUACAAAAUUACCUUAUAUAUAAUACUUUUAGGUUUACCUACAUAGCAUGUUUCAGUUUCUCUUGCCGACUCCAACCCCAAAUGAGUCAAUUACUCAGUUUAGGUUUACUCUUUUUCCCCUCCUCUUCUUUUUCUUUACACAGUGGUGGCACUGGACUGGAACAACGGGCUGUUAUUUACAAGAUCACAACCAUAUCAACAAUGGAUUGAAGAAAUAGUUAGACUAAAUCGAAGGAAGGAGGACUGCACGAACAGGUUACAGCCUUACUGGAUUACUAGCUACCACUGUUGGUCGUGGCAAUAGUGCAGCACAUGAAAUCUUAGAAGAUUCAGUUCCUCCCAUUUCUCAAGCUCGUAAAUCUGGAUCCAAUUCAUCAAAGAUAUCAUCUGUGAAUGCCUCCAAACUUAUAGUGGCUGUAUUAACAACAACAAUAUCUGCUUGGUCAUUUCUUCUUACAACCAUUAGUGGAUGGAGAAUUAAUUAAAAAACCUGGAAAGAGUUCAUGUUCCUCCAUCAUGUAUUUCCAGCGGUGUUUGCAGGCCACCAGAGUUUUCAGGUGUUCACUUUUGCUGCAUUUCCUGUAGAAAUUCUUGGGGAGGUAUAUUGCUGAGAAAUAUAUCCAUGUGACUCGUUUGUAGGCCACCAGCAGUUGAUUCUGUCUCUUCACUGCAGCAUUGGACCAACGCCUCAAAGGAUACCAUUAGAGAUAUAUAGAUAUACAAUGCGCGAGCUGUGAGCAAGAUAGAGAUACAGAGAUGAGAAACGAAGAAGUGAGAUUAUAUAGUGGUUCCAAGCUUCCCCUUCUGGGAUUUGGCAUGGUUGCAUUCCCUUAUGAUAGAGAAAGAGUCGAGCUCGCAAUAUGGAUGGCCUUCAAGAUGGGUUACCACCAUUUCGACACUGCAAAGAUAUAUGGUUCGGAACCUACCGUAGGUAGUGCUUUAAUGGAGGCAAUUCAUGAUGAGGCAGUGAGCAGAGAAGAAAUUUUUGUUACUUCUAAGCUAUAGGGAUCUGAUCACCAUGACCCCAUUUUCGGACUCAAGCAAGCUCUGAACUAGCUCUUGCACAGAGAGAAGUGAAGAGGGAGGAAGGUUGUGUGGUCCUUCAAUUUGUUUGUGUUUUUUAGGAAUCUAGGGAUGGAAUAUGUGGGCCUGUACCUGAUACCCUGGCCAGCCAAACUAAAGGUGUGUUUUGAAGUCCUAUCAAAGCGCUUUCAUGGCAGCCAUCAACUUGAGUUUUAGAACUGUUGACAUGCUUUGCAACACCAUAGAGAGAAAAGCUAUUCUCGACCUGAAAAAGGGUCUCAAAGACCCUUCAAAUUGGCUCUCUUCUUGGGAUUCAAACAACAAAGAUGUAUUUGUGAAGUGAACAAACAUGAUGAGGCUUGAUUUGAAAAACUCCGAAAGUGGCAUUGUGAAGAGAACAUUUUUGUACAAACCAAGAGUUUAUCAAUUUGAAAUUAAGAUGCAUUUGUGAUUCAAAUAUUUUGAAGCGAGAAUGGGCUUUUAAAUUUUAUUUGUA